UCUCUGUGUCUGUAAAUAAAAGGAAAGAGGCAUCACUAUCAUUGCCUGCCUCUUUCUCUCUCUCUCUUUGUUUCUUUUUCGUAUGUAAUCCAUCUAUCUACAUUUGGAUUCACCCACCCACACCCCCCUUGUGUCUGAUCAGAUGCCCUUUUCUUUCUUUUUCUCCAAACUAAUUUUAUGAUGAUGAUGUCUGUGAUUGUCACUGUGACUGUGCAUGUCAUAGAACAAGAAGAUGGAGCAGCCGCAGCAGCUUCUACACUUAUCGGUGUUCCCGCUGCAACUUCAACCUUCACACCACAUGUGCUUCCUUAUCGCCCACCAUGGAAUCUGAAGUUCUAAAUAAUGAAAAAUGCAACGGAUUGCAAUUAUCCUGCACAUACCAAAUGUAUUCUUGGGGAAGAUCCAAAUGACAAGUAACACAUAUAAUGGCCACCAGUUUGGAGGUGCUAACACAUUGACCAUCACCCACACCCUCUUACUUUCAUUGAGGAGAUAAAAGGCUACACUUGAUGUGAUAGUUCUUGCGAAGAGUUGAUCUACCAAUGUGCCCAAUAUAAUUUCCACAUGCACUAUUUUUAUUUAUAGAAAAGACAAAUGUUGUUUUAAUUUUUAUUCUAUACUAUACUUACUUAGUCCACAAAAUUUUUGGUGUGUGAAAUUGGCCAAAUAACAAUGCAGCUAUUCUUUUUAAUGCUCUUUUUUUGAGAUCAAUGUUUAGAUAGGACAUAAAUACAUUAUACCAACUCACGGUUCUCUGCAUCUAGUUGUACCCUACCUUAGUUCAUCAUUAUCAAAUUGAAUGUUUUAUUAUGACAACCCAUUAGUGUAGUUUAUAGGGGAGCUUUUAUUUAUUUUAUAUCCAUUUGAUUUUAAGCUUAUUAGGAUUGUUGUUUCUUACCUCCCAAAUGGCCAAAACAAUUAACGUGUUGUCACAUUUAUUAAAGUUAGAUUUCAAUCCCACAAGUAACUUGAACCUACCAACAAUCUUGAUGUUGGCAAUAACCCUAAGGUGAGUUUUUUCUCUAUUUGUUUUAGUAUGUUUGGCAAUAAUCCUAAACUUUUGAGUUGGUUGUUGGUGUGUAUGUAUGUUUAGGUGUUGGGAAAUUGGUCAGUUGCCGAUGAUGUAACCAUUUUGGAGCUAUGGGUGGUGGUUUUUGGGGUGUAUCUCACCUUUUUGACAAAAUGUCUUAGGAUCCUCAAGUCUUAAAUUGCAUCAAUUACAUAAUAUACAAGCAGCUUAGGCUCAUGAGUUUAAAAACGCUGCAUUUUAUUGGUAAGUCGUUGUAGUAAAUCUACUUGUUAUUUUGUUGCAACCAUAAUUAAUAGUUAUCCUAAAUACAAAUUCUUUGAAGGUAUAUGGAAUUUCCUAGAAGUAAUUGAUUGUAAAAUGUGAAGCUGGACUUUUCUUCUAAAAUAUAUCUACUACUUUGCUUAAAUAAUACCCAAUAUGCCAAAAAUAUCAACUUCAUUGCAUUCCAAGUAUGGAGAAAUCGUCUUACGUGGAGGGAAAAGUUAUGACCUUCAAAAUAGUCUAUGAGGGCAACUAUUCAGUCUUAGAGAAGGUAAGAAUCCACAAAAGCAGGUAGCCAAACCAAGAAAUUAUGGUUUUCCUCUGAUUUUUUAAUCAAUUAAGUCGUUUUCUUUUCGUUUACUUCUCUUAUGUGCUAUUAAUGUUCUUUUGGCAGUGGACCCAUUGGAGCAUAGGAGAUAUGAUGUCACCAUCCAGGAAAUUGCUCCUUCCCCCAUCUGUUGACCUGAUUAAUAUCGUAAAAGUUCAAUCUUAUAUUUCCUUUAAAAAAUAUACUUCAGAUUAUUGUGUAUAUUUCUGACAAUACAAGACUUUAAUAAAUCCCACUCUUGUCAGAAAUAUACACAAUAAUCUGAAGUAUAUUUUUUAAAGGAAAUAUUUUGUGAAAUUUCUACUGAAUGUGGGAAAUCCACAAUGGAAUUAUAAGUGUGUACUAUUUAUUCAUUUGAAUUGCAUACAGUUUUUAUAAAAAGCAUGUGGUGGCAACAGAUUUCUUUAACCUAAAAGGGUGAAAAGUUGUGAACAAUCUAUAAUGGUGAAAUUUCUAUAUAACUUUUUAUAUGAUUUAUUACAUAUGUAACUCAACAUUUCUUUUAUUGUUGCAAGUGAUGAAUUGCAUAUAUUUGUGUAAUCUUUUAGUUUUCCACUUUAUAACUGAUUAGUGAGCUUUAAAGAUGCCAAAGCUGAUUAAAAUUGAACUAGAAGAGCAACUCAUGGAUUCAUUUUAUAACCCUGUAUGUGGACAACAGUGAUGGGUCAUAGAUUGUCUAUUUCUAGUGAAGAUGUUGGCACUUACAAGAAGGGUGGGUUUUUCUUUGAUGGAGUGGUUUGAGAUGGAGGAGUUAGAUGGACAAUAAAGGCAGGGGAUAGAGUAUAUUUACUAUUGCUUGAAGGAAUGCUUUGAAGAAACAUAGAAAUCUUAUAUUGGAUCUGAUUAAUGUGGUUGAUUAACACAAGAAUAUGUGGUUAUUGUGGGUGAAGUAGGUGGCUAUUUGUACUAUUGGGUAUAUUGUGGAUGAAUCAAGAGAAUGAGGCAGAUUGUAAUGCUGGAUGAUGGGUUGAGGAUUCUUGAAGAAGGGAUUGUCAGGGCUAAGCAUAUUCUGAUUGGACACCCACCCAAGACAUUGUUCACUGGUGAAGGCUACAUGAAGUUCUAUAAGUAGCCCUUUUUAUAAUUUUAUUGGGUUUUCUUGGUUUCUUUUGUUGAGUAAUUUGUUGUAAUUUAUGAAUUUAUUUUUUUUAUGUAACUUAUGUUCAUGUAGUUUUUGGAGUAAAAUUAUAAUGGGUUCUCUAGUUUGCUUUGUUAAGUGAUUCAUUGUAAAGUACAAGUUAAUUUGUCAUGUUCGUUUAGUUUUUUUUGAGUACCCUUUUUGAAAAUUAUAAUGGGUUUUCUUGGUUUGUUUUAUUAAGUAAUCUGUUGUAGAGUUUGCAUGUAUUUUUUAUGUUUGUGUAUUUUUUUGAGUAUCCUUUUUGAUAACUAUAAUGAGUUGUCAUGGUUUGUUGUUAAUUUUUUAUGUACAUCCUUGUGUGCUUAUAGAUAUAGUCAUUACUUUUUUGUGAAAAUUUUAAUUCUUUCUUUUGGUUUUCUUUGUAAUUUAUUAUAUCUAUUCACAAAUGUAAAUUUAUUACAUUAAUGAAGUUCUUUAAGUAUCCUUUUCUUAAAUUAUGAUGCACUCUCUUGGUUUCUUGCUUGUUUGUCAAUUUUUCAUAUAUAUACGUGUGCGUGUUUGCACACAUUCUCAAUUAUAAUUAGGUUAUUACUAAUUGUGGGAUGAUUGAAGUAAAGAAUUAGCAUAAGUUGCUAGAACGAACAUGUAGAUUUUUUUUAGAAUGAAAACAGAAAGGUUUCUGUUUUAGCUCUUUCCAGUAAUAUAUUAAAUGUUAUAUAUUUGUCAAGCUGUGAUUUUGCAUUUUGUCACAUUAUCUUUCAUCUCCAUGAAGAGUUCUUCCUUCACUUGGUUGAUAGCUGUGUUAACACCAUGUGUGAUUAUUCAGGGCAGCUUUAUGAAAGAUACAAAAUGGCUUUGGAGGAGAGCAUUGUUUCAGUGGUGCUGCCAUCUCUAAAUGACAAACACAAUGCCUAUUUACUUAUAGAACUUCUGCAAAUGUGGAAAAAUUACAAGGUGAUGACAAAGCAUUUAUCAGGAUUUUUUAUGUACCUUGAUCAUCACUUUGUCAAUAGAAGAAGCAUUCCUUCACUCAAUGAUCUUGCAAUUCUUUGCUUCCACGAUCUUGUAAGCAUGCUCUUUCAUGCGUAAAAUAGCUUCCUUGAGUUUGCAUGGUUCUCUCACAUGCUUUUUCUAUUUUUACCUUCCUUUUUCAGGUUAAGAUUCACUAUAAGCUAAUUUUUACUUUCAUUUUGAGUUUCAAUUCUGCAGUAAGUUGUUUGGUGGCUUUAAAGAUGCUGCAAUUUCCCUAAUCAAGCAGGAGCGGAAUGGUAAACAGGUACAAGACUUGCUCAAGAAUGUCUUGAAUUUUUUUUUGGAAAUCGGAGAGGGGAAGAUAGACUACCAUAUAGCAUUUGAGCUGCUCAUGCUUGAAGAAGCAGCUAGUUACUACUCUCAAUUAGCUUUGGAGUUGCUUUGUUGCAUAUCAUAUGCAGAUUACAUUCAAAAGGUUGUGUGGUUCUUGAUUCAAGAGCAAGAAAAAGCUGGUCAGUACUUAAAGCAGGCCUCUCUAGAGAAGUUACUUGAGUUUGUGAAAUGGAAGUUGAUGGGUGAAACUGCACAAGUAUUGAUUCAAAAACAAAAGACUGAGAGCUGAGACACAGUAACUUAUCAGGAUCUUCUAUCAAAAUAUGCUGACAUGAGCCUUGGAGAGGGAAGUUCUGUGUUACCGUCAAAACAGUGGUCCAUGCAACAGUGAAAGUUCAUCUUUUAGUAAUUAGGAGGGGUAGUGAAACAAGAACACAAAUACACUGAUUUUUGUUAGCAAAUCAACCAAGAGUUAUUUAUGCUGGAAGUGAUAGUUUAAAAUGCUAUUUUGAAAUCAAAAGCCCAUAUGUGUGUAUAUGUAUGCAUCUUUCUUCUACUAUUGAGCAAUUUUGGUUGGGACUA